AUUGAACGCUGGCGGCAGGCCUAACACAUGCAAGUCGAGCGAGCGGCGGACGGGUGAGUAUUGUCUGGGAAACUGCCUGAUGGCGGGGGAUAACAACUGGAAACGGCAGCUAAUACCGCAUACCAUCAGAUGUGCCCAGGUGGGAUUAGCUAGUAGGUGGGGUAACGGCUCACCUAGGCGACGAUCCCUAGCUGGUCUGAGAGGAUGAUCAGCCACACUGGAACUGAGACACGGUCCAGACUCCUACGGGAGGCAGCAGUGGGGAAUAUUGCACAAUGGGCGCAAGCCUGAUGCAGCCAUGCCGCGUGUGUGAAGAAGGCCUUCGGGUUGUAAAGCACUUUCAGCGGGGAGGCGUUACCCGCAGAAGAAGCACCGGCUAACUCCGUGCCAGCAGCCGCGGUAAUUC
rnacentral:rRNA from 1 species